GAAUUAUAUAUCAGCACAACUGUUUUUAAAAAGUAAAAAGAGGUAAAAUUAAUUUUACCAAUAUUUUAUUUAAAUCAAAAUAUGCAAAAUAGUAUCAUUUAAAGAUGUCAUCAAUGUAAAAUAUUCUUAAUGAGAUGCUUCACGUUCGUUUUUGGUACCAGAUUCUUGAAACCUGGUGUGUAUUUUACAGGUACACAUCACCUUGGACUAGCCAUGGAUCAACUGCUCAGGAGCCACAUUUGCUCAGCGGCUUCCUCAUGAAGGUGCAAAUCUAGGCAGUUCAUAGCCUAGCAUCUCUCUGUCUUCCUUCUCUCCUUCCUUCACAAACUCAAACAGGUCUAGGUUCAGAUCAUAUUUUUGCCACUUAUCAGGAGUAUAACUUUGAGUCUGUUAGUUAAUCGUUCUAGAUGAGUUUUCCUUCCUGUGAAAUGGGCACAAUUAAAGAGGGAUCUUGGUCAGGGUGAAUCAAGAGAAUCACUGUAAAGGUAGAAUGGUGCUUGGCGUGUAGUGUUUAAUCAGUGUUACUUCUUAUCAUUUCUUGAUCCCACGGGACAGGACAGCCUGUGUACUCAGAUGGGAAAGACUUGGAGCCAGAGAACCUGAGCUCAAACCCUGGUCCUGUCACGCUCAAGCUGGCUUGUGGAGGAGCCUGCAUUCCUGCACACCCACCGCCCCUUCGGAGGGAGUCUACUCUGAGUUACCCCACUUGCACCUUAGGACCCAGGAUAUGCUUAUUGGACAGGAGACAAUGUCCAGGCUGGCUAGAGGACUGUGAGGUGGCCCGGUGAGAAAUUCAACCCACAGGGAGACUGGGCACCAACUGAUCCGAAUUGUUCUUUUGCAGAAUUCCUUUGCAGAAUUUGAGACAUGGCGAAAGGAUUAGUGUCAGUAUUGGGGGCGGAAGCAGAGAGACACACAGAAGGAGAAUUCUAAUAGAAGCCUUGAGUCAACAUUGGCCAUGGGUGAGUAGGAGGCAUGAAUUCACAGAAAUUAUGAGUCAGCAGAAACGGAUAGAGCAUGGAGUGGGGGUAGCAGAGGAAGAAGCCAAGACCCAGAGACGCUGAGUCACCGCGAUGGCGGUACCCAGGGUACCGAGCGAGGAGGCCCCCUGAGUGGGGCGCCUGAGAGUGCUCCCACUGAGUUACAGAGCUGCUGUGGGGCGGCUGGAGUUACUGCUGUAACCCGAAACUCGUCCAGCCUCUGGGAGCCCUGGUUGGGUGGCUAAAACUUUGGUCUUCCUAAUCUCCUAAUGAACUCGAGGUUGUUUCUCUUCCUUGCAACCUGCAAGAACCUGACCUGUACACCAGCCAUGUCCAAACUCCUCUGAGACUCAGUUGCCUCCCCUGGGAAAUGGGGACAGCUGUUGCUUUGGGUUGUUCAGCAUGUCUUGCUGGGGUGAUGACUUUUGUCUGACACUUCGCAGUUCUGGGCCUGCCAGUCAUGGGAGCACCCCCCGACAAGGUGGCCGUGUAAUCCAGGCUGGCCCUGUCAGACUCUCCAGGGCAGAGAUUUGCUUCGGAAGCAGAGACACCUCUGGAGCAGGGUUGGAACCCCCGAGAUUGUUCCUGGGUUCCUCUGGCUGGGAUCUUCUGAGCCAUCCUGGUUCCUGUUUUCCAAGGCCUGUUUAUUCGGGAGUUUCCCAAUUGCCUUGACAGAUCCCCUAUUCCUGUUUGAGCAAUAACGUAGACUGGACCCACACUGUGCAAGGUUGCUCUGAAGUGAAAUAAGUGACUCCUAGACAGGCCCUCCUGUCUGUUGUUCCCUCCCUGUGCUCUCGCUCCACCUGACACGUCUCCAAUGCUUACCUAACAUCUCUGGGCUCAGUGUCCCCGAAGUAGCCCAGUGUUUUCCCCCUUUGAGAGAAGACGCUAAGCCUAAACCAGCCCCCAGUGUGCCGUGGGCUUUGCCUAGUCCUUGCCAGGUGCCUCUUCCUCACGCUUCAGCUUCUCUUCUGCAUAAUGUGAGAAUAGGGGGUGACUGGGAUCCACGUCAAAUGAGGGCUCCUCUCUGCAGUACCACAGCACUCCCUGUAGGCGGCAGCAUAUGACCACAAAUGUCCUGGAGUGUCGGUCCAGAGCUCAAGACGAGACUGAAGAGAGGUCUUGGCCAGACGCUGCGGAAGAGCGUUUGUUAGCGUGAGGAGCGGAGGGUGCGGGAGGGAGCGGGAAGGAAGGUGGGCGUGUCGCUGGCCUUGAGGCAAAAAGAGACUGGGUCUGAGGUUUGGAAGACGGAAGUGGUGGUAUACCCAAUCCCUCCACCCAUCUGUCCAGCCAGCAAAUAUUUUUGAGCACCUGCACGGGGCUCUGGGGAUGCUUCAGUGAACAAGACGGACGCAGACAGUCCCGGUCCUCACUGAGCUGGUACCUGAACUUAGAACCAUCGUUUUUUCCCAACAGCCAUUAUGGGGCACACCCCUUCGCCUUCUGGGCUGGUUUCCCCCACUGCAAGAUGGGAUAAUGAACUGCGUCCCUCACAGGUCUGUGGAGAGGCUUAGGUGCUGGCACCCGCUCUGCGCCUCUUCCCUUCCCUCAGCCCCACCCCUCCCUUCUCAGGAGCUGAAAACGCCGCUGAGCCCUGCGGUCAUGGUGGGGGGGGGGGCGUCCACCCUCCCGCAGAGUCUGGUUAAGGCCUAAACUUGAAGGGAUCCUCCAGGCCUGUGGAGACCUUCUAAACCUCGGAGUUUUGAAUUUGAUGAUUUGUAUCUAUUCCAGGUUCCAGCAAAAAAAGUGUUUCUAAGGAAACAAGUUGGAGACGAUUUUUACUGAUGAUAUACAUAUACAUGUGUACAUACCCAUACAAAUCUACAUACACUGAUAUGUAUCAUGUACACAUAUGUACACACAGACACACUGAUAUAUAUCAUGUACACACAUAUGUGCACACAGAUACACUGAUAUAUAUCAUGUACACACGUAUGUACACACAGAUACACUGAUAUAUAUCAUGUACACACGUAUGUGCACACAGAUACACUGAUAUAUC
rnacentral:lncRNA from 1 species